UUGUCACUCAACGCCAACACGCGCGUCACGUGACCCGAGCUGAGGGCCCCAUCUUCAGAGCCACGCCUCUAAUGGCUUGAGUAGUCCAUGGAGGGUUGCCUUCUGAAAGGGGUUGACGCAGAAACUACCUCCUGUUGAUUAUAGCUUCUCUCUCCUCUAGAAUGACGGACGCAGUUCCUAUGCCUAAUGUAUGCAAAUAAAACCAUCCGCAAAAUGAUACUCCCAUCUGGGAUUCUAUAGGACUGUUCCUGAGAAAAGCCUGCCUGAUGUUUUCACCACCUCCAGGCAGAGUUCAGUAAAAACGAACUUAGCCAAAUGCCUGACAGGUAGUAAGUGCUCAAGAAACAGUUGACUGGACGACUGCUCCAUUUCUUCUCUGCAUAUCUGAACACUCAAGCACCGGAAGGCACCUAAACCCAGAGCCUCUCCAGACCAUAUGACAUCAGUCAAAGACUCUGCUUGAGAAUUAUUUUUGUUCUUGGCCUCAGCUCCGGAUCACAGCAACUUAUAUAUGCCAUCUCUGUUUCAGAGACAGUUUAUUUUCAGCUGCCAAGCCACUUUUUUCCAAGCCUUCAGUCAAAUAAUUUCUCCUGAAGAAAAAGAAAAGAGAAUGACAUAACUGUCAGGGUUUUAUUUGAAAAGAAGAGUGGUUAUAUAGAUUUUUUUGUGUGUGUUCAUAUCAAAGUGUCAAUAACUGUUAAAGAGGAACAGUCAACUAGCAAGUCACUUGUCAAUGAUUCUUCCAUCUUUGACAUGGGAGAGAUUUGAAGAACAUUUAUUUAGCAAUUUUUUAUUAAAUGUCUACUUGGCUUACUGGACUAAGUUGUGGCAAUCUGAGAAUGGACCAGAUUUCACUCAAGAUGUUUGCCUUCAAGGAGUUUAUAGUCUAGUGGGAAAAAUAAACAAGUAAAAUCUGGGAACUUUAAGCAUAAAUCUCUGGAACAUUCAUAGUCAUUGUAUAACAGGAAUUCUUUAACAUUUUGGAUGUUAUUUUCUCAUCUUUCCACUGAACAAAAUUGACUCAAGCCUUUAAUAAUCUCUGCUGUGUACUUGCAGUGGAAAAUGUCAACAAGUAAUCCUAACAAUUCUCCAGGAAGUGGAGGCUCAGGUGGUUAGUGAGUAGUCCCAAUAUUGAGCUCAAAAGUCGGUCUUCUACAUCCAUUUUUUCUGUCGUGUGUUUCUAUCAUGAACACGUUUCCAUUAUAGCAGAUUGAUGCUUUCUUACCCAAAUUUAUUUACCUAUCUACUAGACCACGAGGUCAAAGACCACUUUUCAUUUGUAUAUCUGCCCAUCACCCUAAUAGAUUGUGACCUUUUGAGAUGAGAAACAUGGUUCCUGCCCUCAAGAGGAUCAAAUUUGGAGAAAAAGGUAGAUAAUCAUAUCAAAUAGGGUGAGAACAAGCACUGAAAUCAAGUUUAUUGUUAACAUGUGGAGGAGGAGCACCUCAUUCAACCUGCGUUCAACAAGAAGUACUUCUCAAAAAUGUCAAGCUCAAGACGAGUAUUGAAGAACCAGUAGGAAUUGGCCAAGCUAAAAAGAGACAAAGAGUGCUCCAUACACAGGCACAUAUACCUUUGUAUGUGUCUCCUUGCCUAUGAACUGUAGAGUAAAACUCAUUACAAGUAUUCUGGAUCCAUUUUUGGCUAAGUGAAGAGGAAAGUUUUACCAGCUGAUGGCCGUUUGAUGACCUACAUGGAAAGAACUGGUAGACUCAGGAGAGCACAAUUGAGAGAAGUGAUCACAUCACAAAAUGUGACAUCAUUCUUUGGCACCAGCUGGCAUCCUGGACAUGGAGAGUGAAUGGCACCCUUCCUUGGAUUCUAGUGCUAUUGCUGAGAUUAGCCAUUCUUGCAUCUCAAAAGGAAGAUGUUAAAAGAAGAGUUAGCCAACUGUGUUCCUGGUGCUGUGCCAGCAGGAAGUUCCCUUUGAAUGGUGCUGCAAACAUAAUAGCAGUGUGCUGACUCCAGCAACAAUGUAAAAAACAGCGCACAGUAACAUGGUAACAAUAUGUCAGAGAGAUUCUGAAGCUCAAAACAACAUAUUUGGAAGAAGAGUGAAGUAUCCCACUGUUUCUUCAUUUGAAGUAAAACUUCCAGUUUUAGAAGCGUCAGCAAUGUUGAGAAGGUCAGAACUGAAAGAGAACAAGGAGGAGGAAGAGAAGGGGGAGGAAGAAAGAGAAGAGAGAAGAGAAAAAGAGAAAAGAAGUGGAAAAGAAGAAGAGGGAAAGAAAGCUCACCUUCAUUUACCUCUGUUCACACUCAAACUUCUUGAUAGUAACCAACCCUGAUGUGGUCACUGACUCCUCUCCUUUCCACUUGUGAAUCCAUUGCAAUCUGGCUUCUCCCUCCUUCAUUCAGAAAAUUGUCUUGUGAUGGUCUCCAAAGGCCCUGGGGCUGCAAAAUUUAACAGGCACUGGUCAAUUAUUAUUGCAACAAAUUUUUCCUAGAAUUCAAAAUAUUUACCAAACUCCAUUUGAAAUGCCUGCCUUUCUUUAUGUAGUGGUUACUUCAUCACCUUCUAUCUCUAUUUGCUCUAUUUCCUUCCCCCUCCUUGGCUUCUUUUUUCUACAUUAGGUCCUUUCAUGCCCUGGUUUUCCUCUAAGAGCCUGUCCUUGCUCAUGUCUGUUCUCUAUAUACUCCUCAUGGCACACUCAUCCAUUCCUGUAAUACCAGGUACCAUGUAUUUAUGACUCGACUUUUUAUCUUCAGCACAGACCAUUCCCUUGAACUCCAGAUUUGUGUUUCUAGGCUCCUACCAGACACGUUUAGUAGAUAUAUCACCAACACCUUAAACUUAUCCAAUAUUAAAUCCCCUUUAUGUUCUUUCCAAUUCUCCAGUUGGUUUGAUUUUAGUGUCCAAGUCAGAAGCUUUAGGAUCACUUCCUCUUUGUUACUCACUUACCCAGUAGGUCAUUAAGUCUGAAUCUAUGGAUAUCUCUGGAAUCCACUCCAUGACCACAAUUUCUGUCUUUCUUCAGACUCUCAUCAUUUCUAACCUAUCCUGUUGCACUAGCCUCCGACCAGACCUCCCUGCCUACAGGCUUUCCCACCUUCCUUUCCUCCUGAAUCUGUAUUCUACACUAUUGCCUCUGGUACCUAAAGUACAAAACUAAUCAGGACACUUCUCUGAUUAACACCUUUCAAUGACUUUUCACCCCUAUCAGCUCCUUUCCUUGAUAAACAUAAAAGGUCCUUGACAGUCUGGCUUCUCCCCCCCUUUAUGAUUGUGUCUCCCUACUUUCCCUAACUCACUGCCUCUGGUUCAGCCUUAACUGUCUUUUUGCAGUUUCCCAAACAUGCAAAAGGGAAACAUUCACAUCUCCAAGGUUUCGAAAGUCUGAUGCAUUUGCCUGAAAUGCUCUUCCCCUCUCAGGCACCUGGCAAAUUCCUGUUCAGUAUUUGAAAAUUCCAUGAACAUCACCCCCACCCCCACCCCCACAUACAUGUGCAUCUUCCUAUUACUUUUUGCAUCCAUAAGCAUGGAGGUGUACCUCUCUAUUAGCAUUUUUCUCACUGUGUCAUAGUUUAUAACAUGGGGAGGGUUCUCCAUGAACCCUUGAGGUCCCUGAGAAAUGUCUUUAUUUCAGUUUAAACUAUGCCUGGCGUGUAAUACAUGCUGAAUGCAUGUUGGUUGAAUGAAUAAUAAAUAAAUACAGACAGUAUUAGA